rnacentral:lncRNA from 1 species
CCGUGUCGCCGUUAUAUGCCGCGGUGUCAUAAACGUCAUGCUGGCCAUUAGGGAACGUUUCUUUGGAAAACGUUUUGGUUGAAACUCUGCCCGUUUCGUUCGGCCUUCGAUCAACCGGCUGCUGCUGAAGAUUAACGAACAAAAGGCAUUGAGGAGGAGAAUCGUUUGAGAAUGGUUGAAAUCGAAAGGGAUAAUGGGAAGACAAAUGUAUACGUUCCAUCGAGAAACGUUGUUGUCGUCGUCUAGAGCCUAGAGCGUAUACUAGACGGUUCCCCUGGUGAAGAUUUGACAAGGCCACAAAGAGAGGAGAACGGCUGGACGUCGAAAUGAAAACGACCAGCUUCUCUCUGUCUGACGUUCGCUGUCAGGAGUUUGACAACCGAUAUUCCACGAGUCUGUUCUCCCACGGUUUACGCAAGGGGCUCUUUCUUUCACGAGAUGCGUCGUCAGCCAACACCGUUACAUUCAGCGUUCAUCGUUAGGCUUUUAUAU